AAAUUGAAGAGUUUGAUCAUGGCUCAGAUUGAACGCUGGCGGCAGGCCUAACACAUGCAAGUCGAACGGUAACAGAAAGCAGCUUGCUGCUUUGCUGACGAGUGGCGGACGGGUGAGUAAUGUCUGGGAAACUGCCCGAUGGAGGGGGAUAACUACUGGAAACGGUAGCUAAUACCGCAUAACGUCGCAAGACCAAAGAGGGGGAC
rnacentral:rRNA from 1 species